AACUUGCCUUUGUUUUUUUCUUAAACUGUGAAUGCACAGCGUUCUAGAACACAACUACUAACUAGCUCGGCCUGGUACCACGGAUUUGUGCUACGGCACCAGGAGAGCAAAAUCAACACAGAAAAAAGCAAGAAAACUCAGAGAAAAAAUAAAACAAAUCUACAAUGAACACAUCAGUAUGUAUAUUUCUACAAACUUGUGUGAGAAGUUCUGUAAGAUCAAGUCCUAAAAGCAGAAUUGCUGGCUCAAAGGCAAAAAAAAAAAAAAAAAAGUAAAUUUAUUGAUGUGCCUACCAACGUGUUCUGAGGCUAUGAGGAAGCCAUAAAAGUCCUACCCUGAAUUACAGUCCAUCCUGGAUUCCAGGCAAGAAUAUAUACCUUCAGAUUUGUAUUUCUCUCGGAAGUAUUAAGAUUUCAAAAACUGGGCAGAAUGAAUCACAGACAAAUGCUUUCAGAAACUUAGAUGGGGACAUAUAUAAUGUAAGAUGGACUUAACUUACAUGUAGAAUAAAAUGGACUUACAUGUAAAAGCAUUUAGAGUGUCUGGUAUUAUGUGUUAGCUCCUACUAUUAUUGUUAAAUCAUUAUUGUAACUUAUUACUAAGUCAUAAGUUACUAAGUAAAAAGUUACAAUAAUAAUUUUUAAAAUUUUUUCCAGUCCUAUGUGAUCUGAAAAAAUAUAUAUAUACCCAAAUACCGUUUACUUAAACAUGGGAAGGUAGAGGACAAGGAAAGAAGAAAAGCUAAGUAAAAUGUAUUUCCUUGUUCUAAUAGGAGAAGAAGUCACGGAAAAAUGUAAGGUUAAACACGUCAGUUUACAAUUAGGAAUAUCUGCUUUACUUCCUUUAUUGGAGUAACUAAAGGUUUCUUUUAUUAUUUUCCCCCUACAAAUUAAUUUAGCAAAAGUUAAACUCAAAAUAGGCAAAGAAUAUAAACAGUUCACAGAAAAGGACACACAUGUGGCCUUUUAAAAAUAUAAAAACAUGCCGGGCACAGUGGCUCACGUCUGUAAUCCCAGCACUUUGGGAGGCCGAG
rnacentral:lncRNA from 1 species